rnacentral:ncRNA from 2 species
UGAAUCCGCGCGGGAGAGUUCCCAGCCCCGGGCUGGGACGCCGAAGGAGCAAGUCCCUCCCUUGAAUCUCUCAGGCCCCGUUACCGCGCGGGCGAG